rnacentral:rRNA from 1 species
AUACGGAGGAUCCGAGCGUUAUCCGGAUUUAUUGGGUUUAAAGGGAGCGUAGAUGGAUGUUUAAGUCAGUUGUGAAAGUUUGCGGCUCAACCGUAAAAUUGCAGUUGAUACUGGAUAUCUUGAGUGCAGUUGAGGCAGGCGGAAUUCGUGGGGUAGCGGUGUAAUGCUUAGAUAUCACGAAGAACUCCGAUUGCGAAGGCAGCCUGCUAAGCUGCAACUGACAUUGAGGCUCGAAAGUGUGGGUAUCAAACAGGAUUAGAUACCCUGGUAGUCCACACGGUAAACGAUGAAUACUCGCUGUUUGCGAUAUACUGCAAGCGGCCAAGCGAAAGCGUUAAGUAUUCCACCUGGGGAGUACGCCGGCAACGGUGAAACUUAAAGGAAUUGACGGGG